GGUUCUUUGUGAGAAAAUGAAGAAUCUUACCUGCCCGGUGAUUUGAGUUUAACGGCCGCGGUAAUUUAACUGUGCAAAGGUAGCAUAAUCAAUUGUCUAUUAAAUGUAGACUGGAAUGAAUGGUGGCACUAGAGAUUAAUUGUCUUAUAAGAUAGUUUAAAAUUUACAUUUUUUUGAGGAGGAGAGAAAUGAGAUAGAGGGACGAGAAGACCCUAUUGAGCUUUACAUGAGGGGAUAUUAUUAUUUAUAGAGAAUUUAAUAAAACUAUUGUUUUACUGGGGUGGUGGAAUAAUAAAAUAACAAUUUUUAAUAGAAAUGUAUUAAUAAAUGAAAAAUAAUUGAUCCAAUAAGAUUGAGUACAAGACUAAGUUACUGUAGGGAUAACAGCGUAAUAUUAUUUUGAAGUACGGAUUUAUAAUAAAGAUUGCGACCUCGAUGUUGAUUUAGGAAACUUACUUGGUGUAGAUGCUGAGUUAAGAAGUCUGUUCGACUAUUAAAUUCCUAUA
rnacentral:rRNA from 1 species